UACGUAGGGUGCAAGCGUUGUCCGGAAUUACUGGGCGUAAAGAGCUCGUAGGUGGUUUGUCGCGUUGUCCGUGAAAACUCACAGCUCAACUGUGGGCGUGCGGGCGAUACGGGCAGACUGGAGUACUGCAGGGGAGACUGGAAUUCCUGGUGUAGCGGUGGAAUGCGCAGAUAUCAGGAGGAACACCGGUGGCGAAGGCGGGUCUCUGGGCAGUAACUGACGCUGAGGAGCGAAAGCGUGGGGAGCGAACAGG
rnacentral:rRNA from 1 species